UUAAAAAUAUUAUAUUCUGAACUAAUUGUACAACUAAAGUUUAGUACAAUGGGAUCCUUGACUAGGGGCUCCUCGGUGCUACAGUAAUACAAAUAAUUUCUAAUACACAGUAAAUUAAGGGCUUGAUUCUGCAACAUUUAUUUAUGUGGAUUGUUAGCAUGAGAAGAGUUGUAGCAUUUGAGACCGAACUGACUUGAGCUGCAUUUGUUUAACUAGUAAAAUGUACAUUAGCCAAAUAGUGCUGUUCCUCAUUUCCCUUUUCCUCUGUUUAAGAAACAUAUUCAGAACUCCCUCACUCCUGGAGCACUGCCACUUACUGUACUUGUAUAGCAGUAUACCAUAGUGGCAUUUUCCCUAAAAAUCUUCACCGGCUCACGGACAUCUUAGCACCAAGACUGCUUGAAUUAAAAAAACAGGACAAAAGGGCAGCUGCUGAAACAUUUGGCUGUGCCGAGGGGUAGUGGGCUCAACAUGCCUGGGUUCUGCACACGACCAGCUUGAGUUUGUAUCUACAGCUACAGGACAGAACUUUAUGGAAACACUUUGCCAAGCCAUGUGGCGCUCUGCUCUCCUUUGCACCAGUACCCUUUUAAUUAUCUGAUUCAGGGAGGAGGACGUUCUGGAAAAGUGUUGAUGGCAUAACAGAAACCUAGAAAUCUGUAUGCAAACAGGUUUUUAAAAAGAACCUUGCCUCAUUCAGUGCACAGGAUCUGGUCUGGAGAUGAAUCUGGGUUAUGUAAUGAAGAGGACUGUCUGUAGGACUUCCCUGCCUCAUUUGUUGCAGAAGUGUGAAGGCAUGCAGUGAAUGAAGUAGAAGAUUUCAGGAAGAGAUAGUAUGGUCUCAUGGUUAUAGCAAUCAGAUGCUGUCCUGGAGAACUGAAUUCUGUCAUUGCCUCUGCCACAGAGUUUCUGUGUGAUGAUGGGCAAGUCACUUAAACAGUAGACAGAGCUGUUUUAUCAUGACUCUAAUGAUUUUGGUUUUUUUUUAUGAGAACACAAUGAAAG